AGUGAACGCUGGCGGCAUGCCUAACACAUGCAAGUCGAACGGCAGCACAGCAGUAGCAAUACUGUGGGUGGCGAGUGGCGGACGGGUGAGGAACACAUCGGAAUUUGCCCAGUCGUGGGGGAUAACGUAGGGAAACUUACGCUAAUACCGCAUACGACCUUACGGUGAAAGCGGGGGAUCGCAAGACCUCGCGCGGAUGGAUGAGCCAAUGUCGGAUUAGCUAGUUGGUGGGGUAAAGGCCUACCAAGGCGACGAUCCGUAGCUGGUCUGAGAGGAUGAUCAGCCACACUGGGACUGAGACACGGCCCAGACUCCUACGGGAGGCAGCAGUGGGGAAUAUUGGACAAUGGGGGCAACCCUGAUCCAGCAAUGCCGCGUGUGUGAAGAAGGCCUGGUGUAAGCACUUUAUCGUACGAAACGUGACGGGUGAGUAGCUCGUAACUAGACGGUACCGGAGGAAGUAAGAC
rnacentral:rRNA from 1 species